rnacentral:rRNA from 1 species
AGCGAACGCUGGCGGCAGGCCUAACACAUGCAAGUCGAACGAAGUCUUCGGACUUAGCGGCGGACGGGUGAGUAACACGUGGGAACGUACCUUUUGGUUCGGAACAACUCAGGGAAACUUGAGCUAAUACCGGAUGAGCCCUUAGGGGGAAAGAUUUAUCGCCGAAAGAGCGGCCCGCGUUAGAGUAGCUAGUUGGUGAGGUACAGGAUCACCAAGGCUACGUUCUGGAGCUGGUCUGAGAGGAUGAUCAGCCACGCUGGGUCUGAGACACGGCCAAGAAUCCUACGGGAGGCAGCAGUGGGGAAUCUUGCGCAAUGGGCGAAAGGAUGACGCAGUCAGGCCGCUUGAGUGAUGAAGGUCUUAGGAAUGUAAAAUUCUUUUACCAGGGACGAUAAUGACGGUACCUGGAGAAAAAGCCCCGGCUAACUACGUGCCAGCAGCCGCCGUAAUAC